GACGAACGCUGGCGGCGUGCUUAACACAUGCAAGUCGAACGGAAAGGCCCUGCUUUUGUGGGGUGCUCGAGUGGCGCACGGGUGAGUAACACGUGAGUAACCUGCCCUUGACUUUGGGAUAACUUCAGGAAACUGGGGCUAAUACCGGAUAGGAGCUCCUGCUGCAUGGUGGGGGUUGGAAAGUUUCGGCGGUUGGGGAUGGACUCGCGGCUUAUCAGCUUGUUGGUGGGGUAGUGGCUUACCAAGGCUUUGACGGGUAGCCGGCCUGAGAGGGUGACCGGCCACAUUGGGACUGAGGUACGGCCCAGACGCCUACGGGAGGCAGCAGUGGGGAAUAUUGCACAGUGGGCGGAAGCCGGAUGCAGCGACGCCGCGUGCGGGAUGACGGCCUUCGGGGUGUAAACCGCUUUCGCCUGUGACGAAGCGUGAGUGACGGUAAUGGGUAAAGAAGCACCGGCUAACUACGUG
rnacentral:rRNA from 1 species